AAAACGGGUCAAUUUGACCCGAAGUCAACACAAGGCAAACAGCAAAUCGUUUUUUGUUAAUUUUAGAGAAACCCCGACUAAAAGUCCUCCUACAACCUCCACCACCUCUGGCUUCACCACUUCUUCCCCUCCCCCCGGCUCCUCUCCUCCUCCCCCAGGCUCCUCUCCUCCUCCCCCAGGCUCCUCUCCUCCUCCCCCAGACUCCUCUCCUCCUCCCCUUGUGUUGUGGUCCAUUGUCGGUGUCCCGGUUUUCCUGGUUAUCCUGGUGAGACGAUGCAUCUGUAGCAAACCUAAAGCUGCUCAAGCUGAGGCUGGAGAUGAUGACAUCACAUACAAUGAUGUCACAAUAUCGAGACGGAGCAGAGAGAGUUAUUCAAUUGCAAUCUACUCCGGAGUGAGAACAGAAGACGUCAGUCACGGACAAACAGGGAUCAAAGACAAGAAAUCAACCAGGAAGAGACUAUUUCGAUUAGCAGAUUAAUCCUCAUCUGGUGCUCUAGUGAGUAUUAGUGAAUGAACUACAGUGUGUGUUCAUGGUGAUGAAGAAACAUGUCAUCCACUGCAACAGGGACCAUCUUUACAUGCACAAUAUUUUGCCCUUAGGGCUAACCCUAACCCUGAUAUCAUUUUAAAAGGCUAAGUGAGAAAACAUUGGAGAACCCUUUUUCAAUUAUGUAAUCACGUAAUGUAAUCUGAAAACUG